rnacentral:rRNA from 1 species
GUGGGGAAUAUUGCACAAUGGGGGAAACCCUGAUGCAGCGACGCCGCGUGGAGGAAGAAGGUUUUCGGAUUGUAAACUCCUGUCUUCGGGGACGAUAAUGACGGUACCCGAGGAGGAAGCCACGGCUAACUACGUGCCAGCAGCCGCGGUAAAACGUAGGUGGCAAGCGUUGUCCGGAAUUACUGGGUGUAAAGGGAGCGCAGGCGGGUCGGCAAGUUGGAGGUGAAAGCUGUGGGCUCAACUCACAAACUGCCUUCAAAACUGCCGGUCUUGAGUGGUGUAGAGGUAGGCGGAAUUCCCGGUGUAGCGGUGGAAUGCGUAGAUAUCGGGAGGAACACCAGUGGCGAAGGCGGCCUACUGGGCACUAACUGACGCUGAGGCUCGAAAGCAUGGGUAGCAAACAGGAUUAGAAACCCUAGUAGUCC